rnacentral:snRNA from 1 species
GUUUACUUUGACAGCACAUGUACUAAAAUUAGAACUACAUAGGUAAGAUUAGCAUGGCCCCUGCUUAAGAAUGACAUGCAAAUUUGACAAGUACUCCAUAUUAUU